CAGCAGCCGCGGUAAUACGUAGGGUGCGAGCGUUAAUCGGAAUUACUGGGCGUAAAGCGAGCGCAGACGGUUAUUUAAGCAGGAUGUGAAAUCCCCGGGCUUAACCUGGGAACUGCGUUCUGAACUGGAUAGCUAGAGUGUGUCAGAGGGGGGUAGAAUUCCACGUGUAGCAGUGAAAUGCGUAGAGAUGUGGAGGAAUACCGAUGGCGAAGGCAGCCCCCUGGGAUAACACUGACGUUCAUGCUCGAAAGCGUGGGUAGCAAACAGGAUUAGAUACCCCCGUAGUCCCUGUCUCUUAUAC
rnacentral:rRNA from 1 species